GUUCUAACAAGCCGUUGACAACUUGUCAACAGGCUAAAUUAAACAUUUAAAUACUACCUCUUUAAUUAUUAUUCUAUGUUAGUAUCGACCGUAUUCGAUGUAAACUUGUUAUGUACUUGGUCUAUGUCACGUGACUGUUCCUGUCAUAAGAGUUAAUUGUCUUAUUGUAUAAACUUGUUAUUAGUAUUUACAUAGUAAACUAUAUUUACAUGUAUUCUGUUGGAAAGGUGCCUUGCAUGGAUAGCGCAAAUUAUUUACGUUCCGUUCGCACCUCUUCCAUUUGGGUAAUAUUCGUUCUUCGCAUGCAUAGUAUUAGUACGUCUUUUGUAAAUAAUUAUUAUAUUUACCCAAUAAAGUAUUUAAACAAACAAAGGCUGGGAACAAGCAGUGCGAACACAUCCUGAUGACAAAUUGUUGCAACAGCAUUGCUACAAGUCUGCUGCAGGUUUGUUACAACUUGUGCGUUUUUACAUGUGUAGUACGUCUCCGAUCCCAACAAGCCGUCGCAUUGCUUAUCACAAGCUGUCAACAAGUUUGGAACAAGCUGUCAACAACUUGCAACAACCUUGUUGACAUUAUCAGACUUGUUGCAAGGUUGUUCCAACAAGUCCGAUCCAGUCAUGAUAUAGCAGUAUUGUUACAACCUUGUGUCGCCAACCUUGUGACAUUCUUGUUAUAUCGUGACUGCAACAGACUUGUUAGGACAACCUUGUAACAAGUC